GUCAAACGUAAUCAAAAUAAAGGAAAAAGUGUACGCCAUAAAAAAUAAAUAAAGAGAAAAAACCCUAACCAGUAAUUAAAAUGUAGUUACAAAGUAGUAUGAAUCGCGACUUCGUCUAUGAUGAUGAUAGACCCACAGCGUGGUCGCGAGUUGGUACAAUUCUGAAUAAGUGGUUGUGGGGAGCUCUGUGUUGUGGUGUACCAGGUAUCCCGUGCUUCUUUUGUAGCUGCUGCGAAAAGUUCGAAGACAGGACGGAGAGGGACAGGCCGAGAGUUAAUCAAGGGACAGUAACAGCAGACCGUGUGUCAAGACAACACCGUCCUCAUGCACCUCGGGGAAGAAAAUCUACUCCCGAGAUGCUGUCAGCAGUUCGCUGUGCUCUCUCACAGUUGCAGGGUGAACCUGCUCCUCCUUUAACAACUGCUUCUAAACCAGCGCCUCACACACCGGAACCCGGUUAACUUUUAUGUGAAUUCGUAUAUGAAUAAUAUUUUUGUGAAGUGUUUUUUUUAAGAACUUUGCUUAAACUUGUAAAGGACUUAGCCAACCGAGUAAAAUAAAAUAUAUGUAACUAUCGCCCUAUGUUGUUUUGUAAUUUUAUUGUUGUUGUGUCCCAAGCCGUGAUCUGAAUUCGACACAAACUUUUCGUAAAACAACUACUCGUAUUAUAGAGGAUA
rnacentral:misc_RNA from 1 species